rnacentral:rRNA from 1 species
UACGAAGGGUGCAAACGUUGCUCGGAAUUAUUGGGCGUAAAGCGCACGUAGGCGGCGCAGUAAGUCCCAUGUGAAAGCCCACGGCUUAACCGUGGAAGUGCAUGGGAAACUACUGUGCUUGAGUACUUAAGAGGAUCGCGGGAAUUCCCGGUGUAGAGGUGAAAUUCGUAGAUAUCGGGAGGAACACCAGUGGCGAAGGCGGCGAUCUGGGAAGUUACUGACGCUGAGGUGCGAAAGCGUGGGGAGCAAACAGG